rnacentral:rRNA from 1 species
UACGUAGGCAGCGAGCGUUGUUCGGAGUUACUGGGCGUAAAGAGUGCGUAGGCGGUUUUCUAAGUUUGGUGUGAAAUCUCCCGGCUCAACUGGGAGGGUGCGCCGAAGACUGGAAGGCUUGAGUAUGGGAGAGGUAAGCGGAAUUCCUGGUGUAGCGGUGAAAUGCGUAGAUAUCGUAAGGAAGACCAGUGGCGAAGGCGGGUCACUGGACCGGUACUGACGCUGAGGCGCGAAAGCGUGGGGAGCAAACAGG